AUGAACGCUAGCUACAGGCUUAACACAUGCAAGUCGAGGGGCAGCAUGGUCUUAGCUUGCUAAGGCCGAUGGCGACCGGCGCACGGGUGAGUAACACGUAUCCAACCUGCCGUCUACUCUUGGACAGCCUUCUGAAAGGAAGAUUAAUACAAGAUGGCAUCAUGAGUCCGCAUGUUCACAUGAUUAAAGGUAUUCCGGUAGACGAUGGGGAUGCGUUCCAUUAGAUAGUAGGCGGGGUAACGGCCCACCUAGUCUUCGAUGGAUAGGGGUUCUGAGAGGAAGGUCCCCCACAUUGGAACUGAGACACGGUCCAAACUCCUACGGGAGGCAGCAGUGAGGAAUAUUGGUCAAUGGGCGAGAGCCUGAACCAGCCAAGUAGCGUGAAGGAUGACUGCCCUAUGGGUUGUAAACUUCUUUUAUAAAGGAAUAAAGUCGGGUAUGUAUACCCGUUUGCAUGUACUUUAUGAAUAAGGAUCGGCUAACUCCGUGCCAGCAGCCGCGGUAAUACGGAGGAUCCGAGCGUUAUCCGGAUUUAUUGGGUUUAAAGGGAGCGUAGAUGGAUGUUUAAGUCAGUUGUGAAAGUUUGCGGCUCAACCGUAAAAUUGCAGUUGAUACUGGAUAUCUUGAGUGCAGUUGAGGCAGGCGGAAUUCGUGGUGUAGCGGUGAAAUGCUUAGAUAUCACGAAGAACUCCGAUUGCGAAGGCAGCCUGCUAAGCUGCAACUGACAUUGAGGCUCGAAAGUGUGGGUAUCAAACAGGAUUAGAUACCCUGGUAGUCCACACGGUAAACGAUGAAUACUCGCUGUUUGCGAUAUACUGCAAGCGGCCAAGCGAAAGCGUUAAGUAUUCCACCUGGGGAGUACGCCGGCAACGGUGAAACUCAAAGGAAUUGACGGGGGCCCGCACAAGCGGUGGAGUAUGUGGUUUAAUUCGAAGCAACGCGAAGAACCUUACCAGGCCUUGACAUCCCUUGCAGAGGUAUAGAGAUAUAUCCGAGGUUAUCAAGGAGACAGGUGGUGCAUGGUUGUCGUCAGCUCGUGUCGUGAGAUGUUGGGUUAAGUCCCGCAACGAGCGCAACCCUUGUGAUAUGUUACUAACAUUGAGUUGAGGACUCAUAUCAGACUGCCGGUGAUAAACCGGAGGAAGGUGGGGAUGACGUCAAAUCAGCACGGCCCUUACGUCCGGGGCUACACACGUGUUACAAUGGGGGGUACAGAGGGCCGCUACCACGCGAGUGGAUGCCAAUCCCCAAAACCUCUCUCAGUUCGGACUGGAGUCUGCAACCCGACUCCACGAAGCUGGAUUCGCUAGUAAUCGCGCAUCAGCCACGGCGCGGUGAAUACGUUCCCGGGCCUUGUACACACCGCCCGUCAAGCCAUGGGAGCCGGGGGUACCUGAAGUGCGUAACCGCGAGGAGCGCCCUAGGGUAAAACUGGUGACUGGGGCU
rnacentral:rRNA from 1 species